GGGAGCUGGCAGGGGACAGGAGGCAGACACCGAGGGGGAGAUGCGCGAAGCACGAUCUCCCGGCUCCAAUACCCCCUAGAAGCUCCUUUGCACAAACCCACCAGGAUUUUGCUCUUCAUCCCCACGCCGGCUCUGGCCCAGUUACCGAAGCCGGGGUAGGAGGGAUGGCUGCUGCUUCUUGAAAAUCCCAACUCUCACCCUGACACCCCUCACUACGACCCAGGGGGAGAACUUUUUACUCGGAUUUCUCGGAUACUAAGCCGGGUAAAAGUGGGGGGCAAUGCGAACAACGAGGGACUCGCUCCGAAACCCGGAAGGCCCUCGCGGGGCACGGAGAUCGGACCAGACGGGGUGCUCCCCCGGUUUUCCGAUGUGUUGCAAAUCUAAGCUUCUUUCUUGCUUUUUUCUUUUUAUAACAUCCCCCUUUGCUCCCCCCUCCCCGCUUUGGCUUCAGGGUUGCAAAAGCAAAGAGCAAUAAAAAAAAAAAAAAAAAAAACCCGCGCACACACUCAGACACACACCAGUGGCGACAGGAGAGAGUUGGAAAGACGCAGGAGAAAAGCAGGAGGCAGCGGGAAUGGAGCAAUGGGAGCGGGAAGCAGGCAGGUUCCCUCGCAAAUUCCCCUCCGGCCCCAAACCGCCUCGCCGGCCCCGGCAGGGGAGCAAGAAGCCGGGCGAGCAGAUGGAGGAGUGGAGCUCGCUCUAGGCAGCGGGCUUGGCCGGAGAAUGGAGGAGCCGCCAAGCGACCGGCUGAUUGGAAGAGAAACGCAGAGCGAUGGAGGCGGGGGUAGGAGGACGAUUUCUCUGCGGGGACUGGCGGCGGCGUACACGCCCGGGUCGGGCGCUGCAGAGCUUGGCUGGCUUUCAACCCGCGCUCGCCGGCUCCAGCCCCGCGCGCCCCCACCCCCAGCCCUGCCGGCGGCUCCGCA
rnacentral:lncRNA from 1 species